AAGGCAGACAGAAAAUUUGCUAUAGGUCUGGUGAUAAUGAAGGAGUUAGAGACCCUACCUCUGAAGUUUUCUGACAAUAAGCACAAAAUUAAGAUGUCUGCACUCCCACAGUGAGGGUAUUAGGCCUUCCUGGAGCCUAAAAAGCACUGCUGCUGCUGCCUUGCAGAGUACCCAGUGAGCAGUGUGGCAAUGCAGAGGCUAAUUGAUUGGAGGUGAUUGCUUAUCGCCACCAGCAUCACACACUUAGAGCCAAACCCUGCCUUUGCUUUCUGUUAAGUCCAGCUUCUACCACUGUGAGUGGCCCUGCUGACUCAAAAUUGCUGUUUCAGGUAUUUGGCAUGGGGACUGGCCAUAAACGUUCACAGAUGGGCCUGUGGUGAGGCUGUGUGUUGCUUCAGGUUGAGCAGAACUGAAAUGCCCUACAGCCACCCUCUCUGUAGGGGCUGUGGACUUUCAAACUGUGAAGUAUCAUGCCAGAGCAAAGCAGUGGUAUAACACUCAGUGAGUCCAACCAGAGUGGGCUUUUCUGGUGGUCAGUGCUGCAUGAAGACCCAGGAAGCCUUUGUCUGCUCUUCAAAGUGUUCACAACUGAAGAUACAGAUGUAGCAGUACUGCUUUUUGUUCUGGGGAGGAAAAAAAACAUCUGUUGUGCUAAGACCUCAUCUCUAAAACCAAGAUGAGGUGCAAUUCUUAGGUGGAUCGUGUUAUUUUACACAGCUCUCUCAGCCCCCUCUCAUCAUACCCCCACACUCUUGCCCCUGACUGCCCCCUCAUUAUGGACCUGUCCUCAUUAUGGACCCAGAGCAAGCUGAGGAGAAGCUGAGGUGGAAGCUGGGAGCUGGAGCGAUAGCACAGUGCUGACGGGGAGCCAAAGGAACAGUGCUCCCAUUCAUUCCUGCAUCAGCUGAACCUGGUGCUGGCACAGCAACUAUUUCAGACACUGCAAACUGAAGCAAGAGGAGAUGAAGAAAGCAUUACAGGGAGCUAGGACAGGCUUGUCCUCCUCACCUUGGAUAUCAGACACUUCACUGGCAACUCACAGUCCUGCAGGCAGAACAGAGGUGGAAGUAUCACAGUCAGAGUUUUUAACAAGCACUGCUUGUCUGCAUCCAGUUUAUCAUCUUCCCUUGCAUUUAUUAAGAGCAAGUUAUGGUUUAGAAAACAUAUGAGCAGGGGCACAGUUAGCCUCCAUCCCCAGAACAAGAUUUGUGCUGGUCAGUUGAGGACCCCUGCCAGCUAUUCACAAGCAGGGCUGCUAGCUGGUGUUUUUUUCCCUUGUUUCAUUGCUACAGCUACAGUUUUACAUUGAUUGGUAUAACUUUCAAGUCAUUAAAAUAGAUUCUUUCAUAAAAUAUCCAAAUCCUGGACUAAGCUGAUUACUGCUGAAUUUGAAUGACUGCAAUUGUUUUCACCUCAGUUUGUGCUAUUAAAUUUAGCAGUAAUUAACAUCUCCUUUCCUUAAGUUUCCUCCAGAUGCCUGCUGUUAAAUUAACCAGUCUCCCAGCUGUAGCAGCAGAUCCUAACCAGUGCUGUGGCCAUGUACCUUCAUGCUAGGACCCUGUGUAGCUCUCCUUUUUAUCUUUCCUCUAAAGUGACAAAGCAGUGGCACAAAGUGAUAUAGUGACACAAAGAUGUCAAUAAGGAUGUAUUUUCCUGUUUUGUUAACAUUUAUUUACAGUAAUUAACCUAUAAAUAGGUUAGGACUGUGAAGCUAAGGCUGAUUGAAUAGCUCUGGGGUAAGCAAGAGCAAUAGUUGACACGUUUUUUUUCCACCACAAUAAGUUACAACUCUGCACAGGCGUUUGAUGGAGAUGGCAAAUCCUGCCCUGCAAAAUGCGCCCCAAAAGCGUCCCUGCAGUUAGGGAGAGGAGGGGGUCAGGACUCCUUAUAAUCUAAACCUGACUCCCAGCUAUCUACUGGAAAUCCUCUUCACAUCCAUAUUUUUGGGGAGAUAACUUCUAAAUAAGCAAGGCAAAAACUGACUUCCCAUUCUAUAUGCAAAAAGCUUCUUUUCCUUAUUCAAAGAUCUAAGAAGCUAUGCUUGCAAACCACCUGUCAGGGAACUUUUCUGCCUGUAAGAAUCAAUUGGAAUAAAGGAAAAAAAUAACCCCA
ensembl:lncRNA